UUUCCGUAGGUGAACCUGCGGAAGGAUCAUUAUCAUGUAAUUCAGUCCCCUUGGCUGUGUUAUAUAUAUACCCACUCUGUGUACCUUCUCCUGUUGCUUCCGCUGGGUGUGUAAUUCGCCCGGCGGAAGGGUAAAAAUAACCUCUGAGUAUUGAUGAAAUCUCUGUCUGAACCGAAUAGAAAGAAAAAUGUUAGAACUUUCAGCAACGGAUCUCUUGGUUCUC
rnacentral:misc_RNA from 1 species